GAUGAACGCUGGCGGCGUGCCUAAUACAUGCAAGUCGAGCGAACAGACGAGGAGCUUGCUCCUCUGACGUUAGCGGCGGACGGGUGAGUAACACGUGGAUAACCUACCUAUAAGACUGGGAUAACUUCGGGAAACCGGAGCUAAUACCGGAUAAUAUAUUGAACCGCAUGGUUCAAUAGUGAAAGACGGUUUUGCUGUCACUUAUAGAUGGAUCCGCGCCGCAUUAGCUAGUUGGUAAGGUAACGGCUUACCAAGGCAACGAUGCGUAGCCGACCUGAGAGGGUGAUCGGCCACACUAGAACUGAGACACGGUCCAGACUACUACGGGAGGCAGCAGUAGGGAAUCUUCCGCAAUGGGCGAAAGCCUGACGGAGCAACGCCGCGUGAGUGAUGAAGGUCUUCGGAUCGUAAAACUCUGUUAUUAGGGAAGAACAAAUGUGUAAGUAACUAUGCACGUCUUGACGGUACCUAAUCAGAAAGCCACGGCUAACUACGUG
rnacentral:rRNA from 1 species